rnacentral:rRNA from 1 species
UGGGGAAUAUUGCACAAUGGGGGGAAACCCUGAUGCAGCGACGCCGCGUGAGCGAAGAAGUAUUUCGGUAUGUAAAGCUCUAUCAGCAGGGAAGAAGAAUGACGGUACCUGACUAAGAAGCACCGGCUAAAUACGUGCCAGCAGCCGCGGUAAUACGUAUGGUGCAAGCGUUAUCCGGAUUUAUUGGGUUUAAAGGGAGCGCAGGCGGUCUUAUAAGCGUGACGUGAAAUGCAGCGGCUCAACCGUAUGAUGUGCGUCGCGAACUGUGAGACUUGAGUGUAUUCGAUGUCAGCGGAAUUUGUGGUGUAGCGGUGAAAUGC